AUAUAAGGCUCAUUUCUCCUUCUGAUAGCAUAGUGUGUUGCGGCAGGAAAACACUGAGCUGGGAAUGGGAGAUUGAACCUGUUAGAAGUUGUGGGAAUGGGUUGGUUGGAGAGACAACACUCAGAGACUCAACCUCUCUGUGUUGCUUUCUUUCCAAUUCCGCCCAUUCCUAUAAUUUCUAAUGGCUACUCCCUUUCCCUUUGCUCUCUGAAUCUCACUUCUUCAUUUUCCACCCAAACACUGCUUAAUUGUUUUCUCUCUACAUCUUUUACUCAUGCAGGAUCUUGUUUAAUUGUCCUUAGAUUUGAGAUCUGUAAUUGGUAAUUUUCCUUUGAUAUGAUAAAAUAUGAUAUGUUACUGCUUAAGCAUGUGACUUCAAAUCCUUAUCUACCUCUAUACACUAUACAGCUACCCUGAUGUCUGAUCUAUAGUUGACAUGUUGAAUCAUCUCAGUGUUUAGUGUUUCUUUUGAAUUUGAUGAUUGUAUUGACUUUUUUAGUUUGUUUACUUGUUCAUACAUCAAACUUUGAACAGGGCAAUGGGGGCAAAGUUGGAGUCCUUUGAGAUGGUACAAGGCAAAGGGAAAAGGGAGUUCUUGAUACAGCAGGUAAAGGAAGAACCACCCUGAAGGUUCAAUGUUGAGAUGAUGUGACGUGUGUAUUAUGCAACAAGAGAUAAACCCAAUUGAUUAUAAUGAUGAUAUAGUGCAAAGUGUACUAUUAUGCAACAAGAUCUGAUAAGAAACCAACUUCCUGUGGAAUAACUUCAUUUACUAGCUGAGUUGAAAAUGAAUUGAUGAAUCUGGAACAUGGACUACAAGGACUAUGAUUUCCAUCCAUAUUCAGGUACCUUUGCUUGAUGAUGCAUAGCUAGCUGGAUUUAACUCGCUAUCCCUUUUUUCCAUCACGUUAAAAACAUCAUACCACAUGAAAAGGUUUUUACACUUUACUUACUAUUUGAAGGAUGUUGCUACCUAUUUCAAGAAAUAGUUGAAUGUCUCUUUCAACACAUGUAUUUCUCAGAAUUCGAACUUGUGAUCUCAUAAAGGAGCCAAACUUGCUUGCCACUAGACCGACUCUAGAUUGACACCUUGUUGCUGAGAUGGGGUGGACGUGAGUAGAAAUGGCAACUAGUACAAGCUAACUGGGUUUGUGGUUGCUUUUCAAAUGGUUGAUGUCUUUCUUGGUAAAGAAAAAAACAGAACACUCUUCGGAAUGGACUGAUUAUUGUGGACAUUCAUCAGUAAUAUGUUUCCAAAUAAGUCAGCAGAGUGAUUUCUGCUAUCAAAAUGAGAUAUGGAAUUUUAUCUAACCUGAGAUAUGGAACUGCCACACAAAUUCUGCUGCUUAAUGAUGUGAAUCAAAUCUUAACAAUGUAGUAUGUACAAUGACACAACCCAAUAUCUAAUAUAUAGUUUCAGUGUUGAACAUUGUAGCAUUUGGUGUUUCUUUUGUGUAUUUUUUAACUAUACUGAUACUGAUUUUGUUUGCUUGAACAAAAAGCUGUAAACAAUGUGACUUAAAAAGAUUGGAAAAUCUGAUUAUGUUGGUGGUUGGAUGUAAUCUAGAAAAGGGUGGAUAGAGCCAAUAUUUAAUUUUUAGUUAAUGAUAUUGUCUUCCCUUUGAUAUGUUAUGAAUCUUUCAAAGUGUUUUGAUA